CACCUGUACUGCAGCUCAUCAUCCAUUAACAUCACAGAACAGCGAUGGCAGCAGCAGCCUUGUCAAGCAGCAGAGGAGUGGCUGGUGGCCUGUACAUCCUCUUCACUCUGCUGUGUCUGGUUUGCCUCGCAAGUUCAUGGAUACACGACGAGAAACUGAAAGAUCUCAAAGAAGACAAUCAGAAAAUACAACAAAAC